GGAAAAUUGAUUAGUGAAGUUGCUGGACACUCCCUUGCUGUUACAUCUCUUGCUUUGUCGCGUAAUGGCAAUACAAUAUUGACUAGUGGGAGAGAUAACUUGCAUAAUUUAUUUGAUAUUCGAUCUUUGGAAGUCUGUGGGACAUUACGGGCGUCUGGGAAUAGAGUAGCUUCCAAUUGGAGCCGUUCUUGCAUCAGUCCAGACGACAACUAUGUUGCUG
rnacentral:misc_RNA from 1 species